rnacentral:misc_RNA from 1 species
AGAAAAACUGGUUCUCGGCUUACCAACUGUCCAUUUGAAGUUGUGGGUAAGAAGGAUGAUGGAUUGUGGGUACUUACGGUAAAAAAUGGAACUCACAAUCAUGAGCCUCUGAAGGACAUUUCAGAACAUCCUUCUGCCCGUCGCUUCUCAGAGACUGAAGUUCAGUUAAUUAAAGAGUUGACUGAAGCUGGACUAAAACCUCGCCAAAUCCUGAAGAGAUUGAGACAAAGCAACCCAGAUCUUCUGUCCACUCCAAAGCACGUGUACAAUG